CCUAUAUUAGGGGAAGUUCUCCUGGCCCUUCCCAACUACCUCCCCUGUGCAAGUUUAUUACAACUGAACGGCCUCAAGGAUGAAGUCUGGCUCUGUUGCCCAAGCUGGAGUGUGUUGGCACCAUCUUGGUUCACUGCAACUUCCACCUCCCAGGCUCCAGUGAUUCUCCUGCCUCAGCCUCAAGGGUAGCUGAGAUUACAGGGUCUCAUUCUGUCACCCAGGUUGGAGUGCAGUGGCAACAUCAUAGCUCACUGCAGCCUUGAACCCCUGGGCUCAAGUGAUCCUCCUGCUUCAGCCUCCUGAGUAGCUGGGGCUACAGGCACUUUCCCUACAUUUUCAAAGGCCUGCAUCAUCACAUCUGCCACAGCAUUCUCUAUCAUUGAGGCAUUUUCUCAGGAAAUCACCUGUGAAAUAUUUUGCAGCUAACCACCUACCUGUGCCCCACCAGCCAACAUGCUUUACUCCUGCCAGGCAGGUUCUC
ensembl:lncRNA ZNF337-AS1 ZNF337 antisense RNA 1